rnacentral:rRNA from 1 species
UACGGGGGGAGCAAGCGUUGUUCGGAUUUACUGGGCGUAAAGGGCGCGUAGGCGGUCGUGACAAGUCACUUGUGAAAUCUCCGGGCUUAACUCGGAACGGUCAAGUGAUACUGUCGGACUAGAGUACAGAAGGGGCAACUGGAAUUCUCGGUGUAGCGGUGAAAUGCGUAGAUAUCGAGAGGAACACCUGCGGCGAAGGCGGGUUGCUGGGCCAGUUCUGACACUCAUCCGCGAAAGCGUGGGGAGCAAACAGG